CCUACGGGUGGCAGCAGUGGGGAAUAUUGCGCAAUGGGGGAAACCCUGACGCAGCGACGCCGCGUGAGCGAAGAAGGCCUUAGGGUCGUAAAGCUCUGUUGUAAGGGACGAAUGUUCAUACUGCGAACAGUGGUGUGAAAUGACGGUACCUUACCAGCAAGCCCCGGCUAACUACGUGCCAGCAGCCGCGGUAAGACGUAGGGGGCGAGCGUUGUCCGGAAUUACUGGGCGUAAAGAGCACGUAG
rnacentral:rRNA from 1 species